GAUGAACGCUGGCGGCGCGCCUAACACAUGCAAGUCGAACGGUUAAAGCACCUUUUAGGUGUGUAUAAAGUGGCGAACGGCUGAGUAACACGUGGGCAACCUGCCCUCCUCUUGGGGAUAGCCUCGGGAAACCGAGGAUAAUACCCGAUACUUCAAUGUGGCCGCAUGGCGACAUUGAGAAAGCUUUUGCGGAGAAGGAUGGGCCCGCGGCCUGUUAGCUUGUUGGUGGGGUAGAGGCCUACCAAGGCAAUGAUGGGUAGCUGGGUUGAGAGACCGACCAGCCAGAUUGGGACUGAGACACGGCCCAGACUCCUACGGGAGGCAGCAGUGGGGAAUCUUGCACAAUGGGCGAAAGCCUGAUGCAGCGACGCCGCGUGCGGGGCGAAGGCCUUCGGGUUGUAAACCGCUUUCAGCAGGGACGAGGCGAUAAGUGACGGUACCUGCA
rnacentral:rRNA from 2 species